rnacentral:tRNA from 1 species
GGUGUUGUGGCUCAGUGGUAGAGCGCUUGCCUCGCAUGCAUGAGGCACUGGGUUCAAUCCCCGGCAUCACAU